rnacentral:rRNA from 1 species
GACGAACGCUGGCGGCGCGCUUAACACAUGCAAGUCGAACGGAAAGGCCUGCUUUCCCUUGUGGAUUGCGGGUACUCGAGUCGCGAACGGGUGAGUAACACGUGAGUGAUCUGCCCCCAACUUGGGUAUAAGCCUGGGAAACUGGGUCUAAUUCCCGAUAGGACUGCAGGGUGGUGCCUGUGGUGGAAAACGAUUUUCUAGUGGUUGGGGAUGAGCUCGCGGCCUAUCAGCUUGUUGGUGGGGUAAUGGCCUACCAAGGCGGCGACGGGUAGCCGGCCUGAGAGGGUGGACGGCCACAUUGGGACUGAGAUACGGCCCAGACUCCUACGGGAGGCAGCAGUGGGGAAUAUUGCACAAUGGGCGGAAGCCUGAUGCAGCGACGCCGCGUGGGGGAUGACGGCCUUCGGGUUGUAAACUCCUUUCGACCGCGAGGAAGCCACCUGGUUGGAAGGGUGGUGACGGUAGUGGUAGAAGAAGCACCGGCUAACUACGUG